AGCGAGGUUGCCCUUUGUAUAUUCGGUUUAUUGACAUGGGAUAUACAAGGGCAAGCUCUCU
rnacentral:pre_miRNA from 1 species